AAAUUGAAGAGUUUGAUCAUGGCUCAGAUUGAACGCUGGCGGCAGGCCUAACACAUGCAAGUCGAACGGUAACAGGAAGCAGCUUGCUGCUUCGCUGACGAGUGGCGGACGGGUGAGUAAUGUCUGGGAAACUGCCUGAUGGAGGGGGAUAACUACUGGAAACGGUAGCUAAUACCGCAUAACGUCGCAAGACCAAAGAGGGGGACCUUCGGGCCUCUUGCCAUCGGAUGUGCCCAGAUGGGAUUAGCUUGUUGGUGGGGUAACGGCUCACCAAGGCGACGAUCCCUAGCU
rnacentral:rRNA from 1 species